UACGGAGGGUGCAAGCGUUGUCCGGAUUUAUUGGGUUUAAAGGGUGCGUAGGUGGCUUGUUAAGUCCGGGGUGAAAGCCCACAGCUCAACAGUGGAACUGCCCUGGAUACUGGCGGGCUUGAGUCCAGACGAGGUUGGCGGAAUGGAUGGUGUAGCGGUGAAAUGCAUAGAUACCAUCCAGAACCCCGAUUGCGUAGGCAGCUGACUAGGCUGGUACUGACACUGAGGCACGAAAGCGUGGGGAGCGAACAGG
rnacentral:rRNA from 1 species